AAACAGUUGAAGGAUUUCUUCAACACAACUGUACUUCAUGAUACCAUUCUGCAGAUAUUGGCCGCCUUUCUGAGCAUGGGAAGCCCUCAUCACUGGAUGGGCUUUUUAAUGCCAGAGCACUCUAAACUAUAUAACUCUGCUGCUACCUCUAGCAGUGAUAGAACAGAACCUUCACCUGCAUCCAAAUUUGAACAACUUAUGCUGGAGGCACAGGCCGUUUUGUCAAGCUCUGAAUUUGAGAAUAUUCUGGAUAUGUCACUCAAAACAGUGGUGGAUGUGAUGAUGGAAGACAUAAAGGUCCUGUGUGGAGAAACCAAUUUAAAAUUGGGUAUUCCAUUAGCUAAACUUAUACCACGACUUGCUCAUAUGAGUCGCAUCCUGCUUGAAGAAUCCAAUAGGGACAGAUACAUCCAAAUUGUCCAAAACAUGCCAGAAGUUGAAAUGUUCUUCACCUUGUUAUAUGCAAGCACACCAGCUUCAUAGUGUAGGACAUGUUGUAUUCUUGUGUAGCUUCAGCGGUAGGUGUGGAUGUAAAAGAUUACAUGUAGCAUUUUGUUAGCUCCUUCAAGGGUUAAAAUAUGGACAAAAAUAAGAAAACUGAAGAUUUUCUGGUGAAGUUUCAUUCUACCUGUU
rnacentral:misc_RNA from 1 species